UACGGAAGGGGCAAGCGUUGUUCGGAAUCAUUGGGCGUAAAGGGCGCGUAGGUGGUUCUGUAUGUCUGCCGUGAAAGGGUACAGCUCAACUGUAGCUUGUCGGCAGAAACUGCAGGACUUGAGGCUGGGAGGGGCUGGUGGAAUUCCCUGUGUAGCGGUGAAAUGCGUAGAGAUGGGGGAGAACACUCGUGGCGAAGGCGGCUAGCUAGACCAGUUCUGACACUGAGGCGCGACAGCGUGGGGAGCAAACAGG
rnacentral:rRNA from 1 species